AUAUGGAUGUCCUAUGGGUGCCCUAUGGGAGCCCUAUGGGUGCCCUAUGGGUGCUGUAUGGGAUAUGGGUGCCCUAUGGGUGCCCUAUGGGUGCUCUAUGGGAUAUGGGUGCCCUAUGGUUGCCCUAUGGGUGCCCUAUAGGAUAUGGGAUCCCUAUGUGUAUCACAGCCCCCAAUCCCCCCCGCAGGCGCUGAGGCCAUGGCUGAGCCGUGCCCUAUGGGGUGUGGGUGCCCUAUGGGUGCCCUAUGGGUGCCCUAUGGGUGCUGUAUGGGAUAUGGGUGCCCUAUGGGUUCCCUAAAG
ensembl:lncRNA